rnacentral:lncRNA from 1 species
GACCAGUGUUGCCAGUCUGAAAUUUCACUGCGUACUAUCCAUGGUUAUAGAAAGUACUAGAUUGAUAGUUGCCCAACAGUCAACUACCGGCUGAGGUUUAUUUCGGGUUGAUUGGUGGGGUUUAUUUUGGUUCAGUUGACGGGGAUUGUUUUGGUUUUGUGAUGGGGUUUAUUGUGGUUGGUAUGCUGUAAUUUAAAAAAAGCGUCCACCUCCGACGACCACCGCAUUCACCAUCGAGAUGGACGAAGAAAGGCACAAGGAGUAGGAGGACGAGAAAUACGAGAGGAACAAGGUGGACGAAGAGGACGAGGAUUUGUGCACGUAUUCAAGGUAUAACCCAAGGUGGUUGGCUGUGGUCGUUGGCGGUGGUUGGCAGUGGUUGGAGGUGGUCGGAGGAGAACGAAGAGAACAAAUACGAUGCGGAGAACAAGGCUGAGUAAGAGGUGAAAAGGGACGAGGUGGUAGAGGGUACCAGGUGGUGUUAGAAGGUUGGGAGGUUUCUUUCCUGUUGGCCUACGCUCUUUUCGCUGCGUUUUCUGAGUUCCUGAGGGUCCAAUUAGUCAGCAGGUGCUUUUUUGCUCGCCAUUUCUCUCCUGUUGGUGCUACACUCUUUUCGCUGCAUUUUCUGAGUUCCUGAGGGUCCAAUUAGUCAGAUGAGGAUCAUUCAGAUCGAAUCUGGGACCAAAAAUUUUCGGCUACAAAAAUGAAGAAAAAGUAAGGCUAACCUCUUCUAAUUCUCUCUUCUAAUUUUUGUAUCCCGAGAACUUGAAUAGAAAUAUAGAACUAGGCUAAGGUUUUGGACUUAAGACUUUGUUUAUUGUUCAUUUUGUAAUAAUG